CCUACGGGAGGCAGCAGUGAGGAAUAUUGGUCAAUGGACGAGAGUCUGAACCAGCCAAGUAGCGUGAAGGAUGACUGCCCUAUGGGUUGUAAACUUCUUUUAUAUGGGAAUAAAAUGUUCCACGUGUGGGAUUUUGUAUGUACCAUAUGAAUAAGGAUCGGCUAAAUCCGUGCCAGCAGCCGCGGUAAUACGGAGGAUCCGAGCGUUAUCCGGAUUUAUUGGGUUUAAAGGGAGCGUAGGUGGAUUGUUAAGUCAGUUGUGAAAGUUUGCGGCUCAACCGUAAAAUUGCAGUUGAAACUGGCAGUCUUGAGUACAGUAGAGGUGAGCGGAAUUCGUGGUGUAGCGGUGAAAUGCUUAGAUAUCACGAAGAACUCCGAUUGCGAAGGCAGUUCACUGGACUGCAACUGACACUGAGGCUCGAAAGUGUGGGUAUCAAACAGGAUUAGAUACCCUUGUAGUC
rnacentral:rRNA from 1 species